CAUUUAGUUGAGCACUCUGAAAGAACUGCCAGUGAUAAGCUGGAGGAAGGUGGGGAUGACGUCAAGUCCUCAUGGCCCUUACGUGUUGGGCUACACACGUGCUACAAUGGCACUCACAAUAGGAAGCAAAGAGGCGACUCUAAGCAAAUCCUAAAAAAGUGCCUCAGUUCGGAUUGUACUCUGCAACUCGAGCACAUGAAGCUGGAAUUGCUAGUAAUCGCGGAUCAGCCCGCCGCGGUGAAUACGUUCCCGGGUCUUGUACACACCGCCCGUCACACCAUGGAAGUUGGUUCUACCUUAAGGCAAAGUAUAAAACCUUUGACCACGGUAUAGUCAGCGACUGGGGUGAA
rnacentral:rRNA from 1 species